CAGCACUAUAAAUACCCAAACGAGGGUUUUGCCCUCAUCAGAUUCAGUUACCUUCUUCUGCGAAAAUUUGCCAACGUUGAAAGAAGCUUGAGAGCGUUCGUUAUCCAAGAUGAGAGCUAAGUGGAAGAAGAAGCGUAUGAGGAGGUUGAAGAGGAAGCGCCGAAAGAUGAGACAAAGAUCUAAGUAGGUUAAUGGGCUAGAUGAGCCUUACAUCCUGAUGCAACACCAGCUUCAUGACGUUUUAGGCAGUCGUGGCCCUAGUGAUCUUGAGGUCUGGUUGUCGUGACGGGAGGCCUUUUUCUAGACUCAGUUUAGCAGUACUAGACUGAUACUAUUGUGUGUGUGGGUUAGUUGUAAUGUUGGGCAUUUUGUGGUAUCCAAACAUGUGCUUGUUUGCUAUACUUAUAUUGUUAUGGCUUUUAAUUAUAUUAGCAUUUUGAGACU